GGCAGGGACACAGUUGUGUUACUGUGGGUUGCAGAGACCGGCAGAAUUUCUUUCUCUCCUGUUGAAAAGAAGGUUUUGAAUAACCAUAGCAACAGUAGAACCUGCUGUGAGUCUUACAGCAUGUAGUGUUGCAGAUGUCUACUUUUGGGGAUCAAGGAGUUAGUCAAGGACUUCAUAGCCUUGUACUCAUACAGAAGAAGAGGGGCUUGAAAUUCAGCACAUCCACCCCUUUCUUUUCAGGCUGGGAAGAUUUGAAGAUGUUGCAAAGAACUGAGUGAUUGCAAACACUAGUGAGAAGAGGGCAGUCAUGGGAAGUGAUGUAAAUGACCUGAAAAAUAAGGCCAAUUCGUGAAAGAGCUUCAGCUUGUAUCAUGAUGUAUAAAUAGAGGCAUGAACAUGUAAAACUAAGCAAAAACAAACUGAAUAAGGAAGACACUCAGGAAAUGUUCUCAUUGCUUACAUUCUAAAGAAAAGUGAGUUGUCUGCAGCAGAGUUUUUGUUUUAUCCUAGAAGAUAUUCAGAUAU